UGUUGCCGUGUGUUGCUGGGCUUUGCUGUUUCUGGCCGUGCCUUGAGGUCCACCGAAGCAACCUUCUUCAGUCAACACCCCAUUGCCGAUCGCACCACGGGAUGAAGUGUCGCGAGAGCGAUCAUGGGUUUCAAACCCAUUUUACUGGAAACCGCUUAUCGCGGGAUCGGCAAUUUUCAUUGCCAAAAACAUUCAUUGAAAGAGGUUUAAAAGAAAAGAUCGCUCUCGCCAGCCGGAGAAAACAACGGAAAAGGGUCGAGACACCAACGGCCCUUUUUUAUGGUACUUUUCCUGAAACCUUCUACGUAUGCGGAUCAGCCAAAGGAAGCCGGACCUGCGAUGGCUCCGUGAGCGCUCACGUGUGGUGUUUUUUUUUUGUAAUAUUGGCCAAAUCGAGAUAUUGUAAAGAAACAACUGAGUGUAAUUAAAAGUGUUGAAUUUGAGCUGAA